ensembl:snRNA U6 U6 spliceosomal RNA
GUGCUCACUUUGACAGCACGUAUACUAAAAUUGGAGUGAUACAGAGAAGAUUAGCAUGGCCCCUGUGCAAGGAUGAUACAGCAUGUCUUAACCAUAUCUCU